rnacentral:snoRNA from 1 species
UACUAGACUCACAUUAGGACACAGAUAUUGUCUUGGUGCAGGGUCUUAGAAUAUCAUGCACUGGCCUUGACUCACUGGUCAGCACACUAAUUAGUGGUCAGAUCAGAAAGCUCC